GACGAACGCUGGCGGCGGGCUUAACACAUGCAAGUCGAACGGAAAGGCCCUGCUUUUGUGGGGUGCUCGAUUGGCGAACGGGUGAGUAACACGUGAGUAACCUGCCCUUGAGUUUGGGAUAACUUCAGGAAACUGGGGCUAAUGGCGGAUAGGAGCUCGUGCUGCAUGGGGGGGGUGGGAAAGUUUCGGCGGUUGGGGGUGGACUCGCGGCUUAUCAGCGUGUUGGUGGGGGAGUGGGUUACCAAGGCUGUGACGGGGAGCCGGCCUGAGAGGGUGACCGGCCACAUUGGGACUGGGAUACGGACCAGACUCCUACGGGAGGCAGCAGUGGGGAAUAUUGCACAAUGGGAGGAAGCCUGAUGCAGCAACGCCGCGUGCGGGAUGACGGCCUUCGGGUUGUAAACCGCUUUCGCCUGUGACGAAGAGUGAGUGACGGUAAUGGGUAAAGAAGCACCGGCUAACUACGUG
rnacentral:rRNA from 1 species